UACAGAGGGGGCAAGCGUUGUUCGGAAUUACUGGGCGUAAAGGGCGCGUAGGCGGCCUGUUAAGUCGGACGUGAAAUCCCUCGGCUCAACCGGGGAACUGCGUCCGAUACUGGCGGGCUUGAAUUCGGGAGAGGGAUGUGGAAUUCCAGGUGUAGCGGUGAAAUGCGUAGAUAUCUGGAGGAACACCGGUGGCGAAGGCGGCAUCCUGGACCGAUAUUGACGCUGAGGCGCGAAAGCCAGGGGAGCAAACGGG
rnacentral:rRNA from 1 species